rfam:Oryza nivara chromosome 12, whole genome shotgun sequence.
AAAAAGGCAAACCCUGGGUUUCCGUGCUAACGUUUGACUGUCCGUCUUAUAUGAAAUAUUUUUAUAAUUAGUAUUUUUAUUGUUGUUAGAUGAUAAAACAUGAUUAAUACUUUAUGCACGACUUAUCUUUUUAACUUUUUUUCAUAUUUUUUUCAAAUAAGACGGACGAUGAAACAUUGGACACGGAAACCAAUGUUUGUCUUUUUU